rnacentral:rRNA from 1 species
AUACGUAGGGUGCGAGCGUUGUCCGGAAUUACUGGGCGUAAAGAGCUCGUAGGUGGUUUGUCGAGUCGUCUGUGAAAUUCCGGGGCUUAACUCCGGGCGGGCAGGCGAUACGGGCAUAACUUGAGUACAGUAGGGGAGGCUGGAAUUCCUGGGGCAGCGGUGAAAGGCGGAGAUAGCAGGAGGAACACCGGUGGCGAAGGCGGGUCUCUGGGCAGUAACGGACGCUGAGGAGCGAAAGCAUGGGUAGCGAACAGGAUUAGAUACCCUGGUAGUCCAUGCCGUAAACGGUGGGCGCUAGGUGUAGGGGUCUUCCACGACUUCUGUGCCGUAGCUAACGCAUUAAGCGCCCCGCCUGGGGAGUACGGCCGCAAGGCUAAAACUCAAAUGAAUUGACGGGG